GGCAGACAUCACCUUCCUACAGAGCAGAAUAGGACAGGAGGAAAAGCUCAACUCAAAGUUUUGUCUGGCCAGACUGGACCCAAAUACAGGACUGAAGACAGGCAGGCAUGCAGUGGAUCUUGAUGUUCUAGAAAACUAGAGGACAGAGGAAAAUCAGACUUACAUUGGAGAUGCUGCUGUCCUAGAAAUCACAGAAAUAAAAGCCACUGAGUUGCCCUUCCUGUCCCCAAUCCUGACCUACUCCACUGGAUUUGGACCUCCUGGCUUUUGACCCUCCAUCUGUCUGACCCUGAGAUCUGGAACCGCCUGACCUGGAUUUGGAUUCCCUGGCUCUGACCCUGGCCUGUCUGACUGUGAAAAAGCCGACCCCUUAAUAAACACCUGUUCUGUAUUCACAGCUCAGUCCCUGCGUUCAUCAGCGCCUGGAUCGUGUCAACAAGUCCGAGAUUGUAUUUAAAAAAAAAAAAAAUCGAUCAUCAUUAAUUUUGUUGUCAAAAUGGCCUGCAAACUGUUCUUUUUAAAUCUUUUAAUAUUACAGUCCAAAAUCCAUGGAUAUUGUACUUUAUUCUGAGUAUUUAGACACUUUCACCAUCUCUGGUUUAGCUCUGCUCAGGAUGUAGGAAUGAGCUAAACUUUGGUAAACUUGUAACAGUUCAAAUUGUUACAAUUUGAACUGUUACAAAUUGUAAGAAUUUACAAUUUGUAAAGAUUUCAAAU